GACGAACGCUGGCGGCGUGCCUAAUACAUGCAAGUCGAACGAAGUGGCGAACGGGUGAGUAAUACGUGGGUAACCUGCCCUCCUUUUUGGGAUAAGCCUUGGAAACGGGGUCUAAUACCGAAUAAAGGGGGAUGGGCUCGCGGCCUAUCAGCUUGUUGGUGGGGUGAUGGCCUACCAAGGCAGUGGCGGGUUGCCGGCCGGAGAGGGUAACCGGCCACAGAGGGACUGAGAUACGGCCCAGACGCCUAAGGGGUGGAGAAGUGGGGGAUAUUGCACAAUGUGUGAAAGCCUGAUGCAGCGACGCCGCGUGGGGGAUGAAGGUUGUCGGGUUGUAAACCUCUUUCGGUACCGAACGGGUAGCUGGAGAAGAAGCGCCGGCUAACUACGUGCCAGCCGCCGCGGUAAUAC
rnacentral:rRNA from 1 species